UACGUAGGGGGCAAGCGUUGUCCGGAAUCAUUGGGCGUAAAGCGCGUGUAGGCGGCUCGAUAAGUCCGUUCUGAAAGUCCAGGGCUCAACCCUGGGAUGCGGAUGGAUACUGUCGGGCUCGAGUCCGGAAGAGGCGAGUGGAAUUCCCGGUGUAGCGGUGAAAUGCGCAGAUAUCGGGAGGAACACCAAUGGCGAAGGCAGCUCGCUGGGACGUGACUGACGCUGAGACGCGAAAGCGUGGGGAGCAAACAGG
rnacentral:rRNA from 2 species